rnacentral:lncRNA from 1 species
UUUUCUAUACCAAUCCAAUAAAAACCGAAAAAAAAAUGAACCAAAAACAUAAUAAUUGUCUUCCAGUAUAUAUUUUCAGUAAAUUUCCCGAAACCACUCUAUUAUUUAGUUUUGAAACAUUUUCUCUUAUAUUUCUCAGAAUUUUUCUGUUCUUACAAAAUAAUUUUCAGUCACCAAAGUUUUUAUUGAUGAUGAGAGGACAAAUCUCACAUAUUGUUUCAAGACAAAAAUAGAGAUUAGGAUAAUUAGUCUUGAUUCAUAAAAUUUUGUUAAAAUAGACAAAAAAUUAUAAAAAUUUAAAAAGUUAUACUACACUUUUUUUUUAAAUUACUAUUUAUCAUCAAUGUGACAAUUGUAUAAUAUUAAAAAUAGUAAAAGUAAUUGAUGGAUAAAUAACAAAAUUUAAUAAUUCGUGCAUUAAACGAAUUAAAAAGUGAUAUUUAUAAUUUAAACGUUUUAUAUUUAUACCCCAACAAAUAUCUAACCUUAUAAAGAAAGGAAAAAAAGGAACUUUGAUUCCAAGUGUUGCCGUGGGAAAUAAGAAACUCCUACAUAUAGAAAGGAAAAACACAUGGAAAGUUUGAUUCCCACAGUGUUGUUGUGACAAAGAAAGAAAUUAAGACGUGGUGUAUCUGUCUUUGGAUUAAUUAUGGAUUUGCAGAAGAAUACAAUCUCAACAAAAAAAUCUUAGCAAAGUUUGCUAUAUUGCUAUAUUAUGUUUGUUUAAUCGAUUAACCUGCUAUUUUAAUCGAUUAAAUGCUAGUAAAUGUGUGCACUUGUUCAAUUCUUUCAUCAACUGAUUAAUUAAUUACAUUCCCAAUAUUAAUUGAUUAAUUACAGUUUGAGUUCAGUUCAUGUCUCUUCUUACUUUUGACCAAAAAUACAUUUAGUUUAUCUUUUUGAUAAUGUUAAAAGGGGGAGAAAUGUUGUUUUGUUGUUUGAUGUGUGCAAGUUGUAAAAUAAAAUUCAGCUUUCAUUGUCAAGCUAUGCGCUUUAACUUUGAAAUCAACAACCCUACAUUUUGUGAUCAUCUUCAAGCUAUGCAUCAAAACAAAAUUUGGUGUUGAGUUUUUCAUAAUAAAAAAGGGGAGAUUGAAAGUGAAAAGUAUCGAG